GGCCAGAUAGCUCAGUUGGUUAAGAGCACCUUGGGAUUUCCCAGAAGGUCCUGGGUUCAAUCCCCAGUCUGGACA